rnacentral:misc_RNA from 1 species
AACGCACAUUGCGCCCUUUGGCAUUCCUUAGGGCAUGCCUGUUCGAGCGUCAUCUAACCCCUCAAGCUCUGCUUGGUGUUGGGCGUCUGUCCCGCCUCGGGCGCGGACUCGCCUUAAAAUCAUUGGCGGCCUGUGUAUUGGCUUCGAGCGCAGCAGAUUUUGCGCUUCGUCCCCUCUUGCAUAGGUGUCCAUAAAGCCUCUUCAACCACUUUGACCUCGGAUCAGGUAGGGAUACCCGCUGAACUUAA